rnacentral:lncRNA from 1 species
GUGCCUGCAUGAUAACUCAGUUUGAGUGCAAGAAUGGCAACUGCAUCAGAGCCAACUACGUCUGUGACGGUGAUAACGACUGUAACGAUAUGAGUGACGAGGAAAACUGUUCUGAAAUUUGAGGCGUCUGGUCCAGGUUCUCCAGCUCUAAUCCGGCCAUACUGUUUUACUGACGUACAUUUGACAACGACCAACAUGCAAUACAAAUAAACAUACUCCUACAUACCGCUGCUAUACAGUGCUUUCAUAAAACUUUCAUCACUGUAUUGUUAUCAUCUUCAAGCUACUUGUUUACAAUUUCAUCUAAACUUUCCAACCAUCAUCAAGAAGUUAGAUGGUUUUUUAGUUCAAAAUAAUCUCAUUUAUCUGCCGAUGCAGCUAAUGGCGGUCAUUGAUUCUGAUUGCUCCUUGAGUAUUGAAAGGAUCUCAGAGCAAAACCGUUUGAAUUCAGAUUUAAUGUUUCAUCGGUAGUUACUGUAAUGUAGUAAAUAAUUGCAUGUAUUCAGCUUUGUCCGUUAAAUUGUUAGCUGCAUUCUUAAAAUUUUUUCAGUGAAAUUUCAAGAUCUAAAUAAAUUAGGUACUCGUAUAAUAAAUAUCAGCUAAGAAUCGUAAUCUGCAGAAGGCAACAGAAAAUGUUUUCAAUGCAAAUAAUUAUUCAUUUAAUUGAAUUUCUGUCUGGUACAUAUUAAUACAUCUUUAUUUUUUAGCAAGUAAGCACACACGUUCGAUAUGUUGCUUCCAUACAGACUAAUUCGCUUU